AGUGAACGCUGGCGGUAGGCCUAACACAUGCAAGUCGAACGGCAGCACAGUAAGAGCUUGCUCUUACGGGUGGCGGGUGGCGGACGGGUGAGGAAUACAUCGGAAUCUACUUUUUCGUGGGGGAUAACGUAGGGAAACUUACGCUAAUACCGCAUACGACCUACGGGUGAAAGCAGGGGAUCUUCGGACCUUGCGCGGUUGAAUGAGCCGAUGUCGGAUUAGCUAGUUGGCGGGGGAAAGGCCCACCAAGGCGACGAUCCGUAGCUGGUCUGAUAGGAUGGUCAGCCACACUGGAACUGAGACACGGUCCAGACUCCUACGGGAGGCCGCAGUGGGGAAUAUUGGACAAUGGUCGCAAGCCUGAUCCAGCCAUACCGCGUGUGUGAAGAAGGCCUUCGGGUUGUAAAGCCCUUUUGUUGGGAAAGAAAAGCAGCAGGUUAAUACCCCGCUGUUCUGACGGUACCCAAAGAAUAAGCACCGGCUAACUUCGUG
rnacentral:rRNA from 1 species